rnacentral:rRNA from 1 species
UACGUAGGGUGCGAGCGUUGUCCGGAAUUACUGGGCGUAAAGAGCUCGUAGGUGGUUUGUCGCGUUGUUCGUGAAAACUCACAGCUUAACUGUGGGCGUGCGGGCGAUACGGGCAGACUGGAGUACUGCAGGGGAGACUGGAAUUCCUGGUGUAGCGGUGGAAUGCGCAGAUAUCAGGAGGAACACCGGUGGCGAAGGCGGGUCUCUGGGCAGUGGCUGACGCUGAGGCGCGACAGCGUGGGGGGCAAACAGG